AUAGCAGACGGACUCGGCCCGAAUGUGGCCUCAUGAUGGCACUGCUGGCGUGCUGCCGGCAACGGCAUGCAACAUGUCAGCCAAGUAUGGGCCAGGUGUGGCAAUGAUGGCACUGGAUCCAUGAUGGCAGAUAAAAUUUGGGCCAGUUGUGAUUGGGAGGUAUGUGGCCCAGAUCAGUGUAGUGAUUCUGGCCCAGAUCAGUCUAGUGAUUGUAAGCCACAUUUAAAAUACUGAUUUAUAAUAAAUAAUUAGAAGAAUUGAAGGAUUUUCAGGCUAUCUUAAUCUUAAUGUUAAUUUAACCUUUAUUAAGUAAAAUGUUAGUUUUGUAUUAAAAGAACCUAAUAUAUUUGGACAAUAAUGUUUGUCUACAUUUCAAUCACAUAAACUUGCCUUCAGAUCAUGGGUCAAGAUUAUUUUGUUCAAAUGACCCUGAACUUCCAAAAGUUUUUCUUUCUGAAUUUAAAAGUUUCUAUAACGUUGCUUUGAGAAGCACCAUGGAUCGUUUCUAUUUAAACUUGCUUUUGCGCGAUUUUCAUUAUAGCAGGAGUUUAUUCCUGCUGAAGAUUUCUGACUUCAAUGACUAAACUAUCAUUGUGUACAAUCAGAUGUUAGAUACUGCAGAAAUAAACGUUACUGUGCUGAAGAUUUCUGACUUCAAUGACUAAGUAAAACUAUCAUUGUGUACAAUCAAAUGUUAGAUACUGCAGAAAUAAACUAAAUGUAUUGUUAACCUUCACGUUACGUUAAGGAUGCGCAGUUUAUUUAUGAAGUGCAACAAGAACCUACACGCGGAUGACAUCAAAGUACUGCGAGAGCGACUCGAAAGAUCAUGGACAGCAUUCUGAUUUCAAAUCACUCUCGCGGUAUUUUAACGUCAUCCGUUUCUCAGUUCCUGCAACUCAGCAUUACGUUGAACACCUUGUCAAAAAUGAUUGAGAUGGCCAAUCAAAUCAAAAAAGGCGAGUGCCACUGGCCAAUCACAUAACAGAAGACGAGCUUUCCUGUUACCGGAAGCCGAGCGGCAGCCAAUCAAAUUAACCAAUAGGCGGGGUUACCGUCGGAGUAGCAGUUACACCGCGUCAAUCAAUCAUAACGGACACACAGAUUUCAAAGGCAGCAGGAUGAAAGAUAUGUGUCUGUGUUCAUCAAGACAUGAAGACUCUGGAGUGGGACAAGAGAAGGAUGAUGGGGUGUAUAUUCAAAUAGACACAUUAAGUCACAUUGUGAUUUCAGUGAAAGCAGAUAAAUACAGAGGGCUGGACAGUGGUUUCAUUCAUUAGGUAAAGAGGUGGGACAAGGAUGCUGACAGGACAGGAGGAGGUGACAUUCAGACAUUCAACGCAGCCAUUUUCAUCCAAAGCAACUUGAGGAAGAAAACAGAAGCAGUUCAUCCUAAAAGUGGGCUGCUGUAAUGUUUACAUCUAUGGAAAGAGGAGCUGAGAAGAAAAGAUAGGCUGGAAAGCAGUACUUCUUGUUGAGGACAAUCCUGAAUAGGAACACUUUCUCAUACACAUAGAUUAUUAUUAGUGUUUGAUUGUUUGUUUCAUUUUUAUGAAUUGUAUUGUUUUAAUUUUUCGUUUUAUUUGAAAUUACCUAAGUUAGAAUCAUGCUUAUACUUUAACUGGACCUUGUAUCUUUGCUGGCUGGCUGGCUGUAGAGUUGGUUUCACAUACACAUGAAGUUUCUAAUUAACUAACUUUUAAGUUCAGUUUGGUUUAAACUUGUAUUUACCCAUGGUAAUUCAUUUAAAUUUCUAUUCAUGCUUAUAUAUUAAUUUCAAUGAACUUGUGUAUAGCUGGCAAUUUGGGCAAGCUACGUUUAACACACAAAUGUAACUGUCACAAAGGUUUUUUUAUUAUCAGUUUGUUCUAAACUUUUGUUUGUUUACUAAGGAUGAAAUUGCUUUGUAAUUUAAGUUGUUGGUAGAUUCAUGCCAAUAAUGUAUUUGAACAAACUAGUAUUUUUGUUUAUUGCUGGCAGUUUAUACUAGAAGAGUUUUAACAAAUACAAUGUUGUAGUGUUAUUGACUUGUGUGCUAUUGAUUAAUAAAAAGGCAAACAAUUUGAAAGUAAUUUUUCGUGUGAUUUAUUUAUUAAUAUAAUUUGGGCAAGAUUAGGCUGAGUUAUGGC